AAGGAUUAUCACCAUAUUCAUGUACAUUAAAAAAAAUAUAUUGCUUCAAUAUUAUGGUAGCAUUGUGGCACAUAUUGGUUUAUUUUGACUAUGUUCUGGCAUGCAUCUGGUAUGAUUUACUCGUAUCCCUUACAAAGUCAAGAUGGUUGAACACUUUAAAUGCUCAUAUGAUCAGCAACUUUAUGUCGGGUUGGCACAAAUAUUAGAUUGCAAUAUGGAGGUAGAUGCUAGCUUUUUAUCUAAAAACAUAUGGAGGUAAAAUAUCAUGUUUACAUUUCUUUCUUUUUAUUUUUUGGAAACACAUGCUGACAUUUGUUAUUGUAUCCUUUGUUGUAAUGUAUGUUGGAUUCUGGAGAAUGGAGUAGGAUGACUUUUUUUUAUGAGAUUUGUAGGGUUUAAUUAGCUUUUAAGAAUCCAACAUAGGUAGGAAAAAUAAAAUAUGUAUUCUAUCCUUGGGAGUUCUCAAGUAAGUCGAAGAUAUACAUCCAAUUAAAAAAAGAAAAAAGAGGAAAAAAAAAAAAUAAAGAAAGAAAGAAAGAAAAAAGGAAGAAAGAAUAGGUGACCAGUGGGUUUCACAUAUGCAAGGAGAGGGAAGAACUAGUAAGGUUGGGGGUCAUUUAGCCUCUAACAAUGUCGAGGUUAUUCGGCAGGGUAAGCUAGUCGGGUUUUUGUGGGUUAAGACUGAGCAACUGCUACUAAUAUAGGGAGAGGACUAUUGACAGGAGGCUAGAAUGUGAAAGUCCCACCUCUCAAGUGCUUGGAAGGUGAAGUACCUAAUAUUUAUUAACAAUGUCUUCUAAAUUUGUUUUGAACAAUGCAUUAUCAUUUUUUCUAUAAUGAAAUCUUGUCAAACAAUUUUCUUUUUAACGUUUAAAGUUUGAUGUAUAUAUUAUCUCGAGUUUUUUAGCUAACUUUUAUGCACCUCAAUUACAUUUGAUUGAUACUAUUACAUUUGGACAUUUGGUUGCCAAUAAAUUUGUAGGGUAUUAAAUCCUAAGUCGGUAGUCAUUCCAUUUCAUUCAAAGCUCUUUACCUUCUUUAUUGAUCCCAAUGGCUAUCAGGCCGGUUGUAAACACAUAAAUUAAAGCUCUAAAAUCAAUUACAUUAACAAACCAAUCAACUUGUUUGGCUUUUAUAGCCUUGCAAACUAACAAAUUUAGAAAUGAUAAAAUUAGCCAAAUCUAAAAAAUAGGAAAAACAACUACCCACUAAUUAAUUUAGUGGUUCUAACAUUACUAGAGAAGUGGACAUCCUAAAGAAAUGGUAGCCAUUUCAUCCUAGAGAACAGAUCUAGUAUGACCAUCUUUAACAAGGCCAACCCAUGAUCAUCAUCAUACGUUGUUUUUGGGAUGCCAAUUGUUGAUAUUCUCAAUUGCAUUAUCUUUAGCACCGGAGCAAAUUGUUUUUUUGGAAUGCUGGAAGGGAAAAGCAUGGAAUGUGAAUUGGUUCUGUUGAGGAGAGAGAAAUUGAAAGACACGAGGAAGUGGUGUAGGAGGUGAUACUGCACAAAAUUGGAUGAUGGUAAAGAACGUAGAAAUGUUGCUUGAACGCAGAUUGUGAAAUGGAAACAGUCAAUAAUAACUAAUCUUAAAGGGGAAUGGCUAUAAGCUUUUCUUCUAUAGGCAUAAAGAUCCACACACUUCUCGUAGAGGUCAAUCGAAGUGAGAAGAGGAAAGUUGCGAGUCCCUACAUUUCUUCCCGUAAUGGCUUUGAUGGUUUGAUUUUUUGAGUCUUUCUGGUAAACUUAAGCUAAACAUACAUGUUGAGGUGAAGAUGUUAUUAAUGAGUCUGUGUGAGGAAGAGGGAAUUAAAGUUAUGGGAAAAAGGCUGUGUGUCAACUAUGGUAGUGAACCUAUACUUUGUUAGGAAGGAUGCAAAUGCGGCAAUAGCUAGGCCUCCAAAUUUUCAAUCCAACUAAAAAAAGAAAGAAAAAGAAGGCUAUUGCAAAAGUGAUUAAUUGACAUUUAAGGGACUUACAAAUGCAUAUCUGCAAAUAGGAGAGAACAUGGUUUAUGUGUCUUCUAUGUGAUUAGAAUUCGUGGAUGUGAGAAGUAGGACUUGCAUAUAUUGGUUCUAAAGGAGUGUAUUGGACUUCUUUUUUUUUUUUUUUUAAAUCUCGGGA